GACCAUCCCAGUUCGGAUUGCAGGCUGCAACCCGCCUGUAUGAAGUUGGAAUCGCUAGUAAUCGCGGAUCAGCAUGCCGCGGUGAAUACGUUCCCGGGCCUUGUACACACCGCCCGUCACACCAUGAGAGUCGGGAACACCCGAAGUCCGUAGCCUAACCGCAAGGGGGGCGCGGCCGAAGGUGGGUUCGAUAAUUGGGGUGAAGUCGUAACAAGGUACC
rnacentral:rRNA from 1 species